AACCACCAUGCAGGUAUCAGUCUCCUGUUUUAACUCGAUCUGUUCUUCACCCUGACUGCAGUAAACUUCUUUCUCUUCCACUUUUAUCUGAUGCUCUUCUUUCA